rnacentral:rRNA from 1 species
GAUGAACGCUGGCGGCGUGCCUAAUACAUGCAAGUCGAGCGAAUGGAUUGAGAGCUUGCUCUUAUGAAGUUAGCGGCGGACGGGUGAGUAACACGUGGGUAACCUGCCCAUAAGACUGGGAUAACUCCGGGAAACCGGGGCUAAUACCGGAUAACAUUUUGAACCGCAUGGUUCGAAAUUGAAAGGCGGCUUCGGCUGUCACUUAUGGAUGGACCCGCGUCGCAUUAGCUAGUUGGUGAGGUAACGGCUCACCAAGGCAACGAUGCGUAGCCGACCGGAGAGGGUGAUCGGCCACACUGGGAAUGAGACACGGCCCAGACUCCGACGGGAGGCAGCAGUAGGGAAUCUUCCGCAAUGGACGAAAGUCUGACGGAGCAACGCCGCGUGAGUGAUGAAGGCUUUCGGGUCGUAAAACUCUGUUGUUAGGGAAGAACAAGUGCUAGUUGAAUAAGCUGGCACCUUGACGGUACCUAACCAGAAAGCCACGGCUAACUACGUGCCAGCCGCCGCCGUAA